rnacentral:rRNA from 1 species
GAAUUUUGGACAAUGGGCGAAAGCCUGCUCCAGCAACGCCGCGUGCAGGAUGAAGGCCUUCGGGUUGUAAACUGCUUUUGUACGGAACGAAAAACUUUGGGUUAAUACCCUGGAGUCCUGACGGUCCCGUAAGCAUAAGCACCGGCUAACUACGUUCCCCCAGCCGCGGUAAUACGUAGGGUGCCAGCGUUAAUCGGAAUUACUGGGCGUAAAGCGUGCGCAGGCGGUGUUGUAAGACAGAGGUGAAAUCCCCGGGCUCAACCUGGGAACUGCCGUUGUAAGUGCAAGGCUAGAGGACGGCAGAGGGAGGUGGAAUUCCGCGUGUAGCAGUGAAAUGCGUAGAUAUGCGGAGGAACACCGAUGGCGAAGGCAACCCCCUGGGCCUGUACUGACGCUCAUGCACGAAAGCGUGGGGAGCAAACA